UACGGGGGAGCAAGCGUUGUUCGGAUUUACUGGGCGUAAAGGGCGCGUAGGCGGUCAGCACAAGUCAGUUGUGAAAUCUCCGGGCUUAACUCGGAAAGGUCAACUGAUACUGUGCGACUAGAGUGCAGAAGGGGGCAACUGGGAAUUCUCGGUGUAGCGGUGAAAUGCGUAGAUAUCGAGAGGAACACCUGCGGCGAAGGCGGGUUGCUGGGCUG
rnacentral:rRNA from 1 species